rnacentral:rRNA from 1 species
UGCGUAGGGGGCAAGCGUUGUCCGGAAUCAUUGGGCGUAAAGAGCGUGUAGGCGGCUCGAUAAGUCCGCUGUGAAAGUCCAGGGCUCAACCCUGGAAGGCCGGUGGAAACUGUCGGGCUAGAGUCCGGAAGAGGCGAGUGGAAUUCCCGGUGUAGCGGUGAAAUGCGCAGAUAUCGGGAGGAACACCGAUGGCGAAGGCAGGUCUCUGGGCAUUAACUGACGCUGAGGAGCGAAAGCAUGGGGAGCGAACAGG